rnacentral:rRNA from 1 species
UACAGAGGUCUCGAGCGUUAGGCGGAAUCACUGGGCUUAAAGCGUGUGUAGGCGGAGUGCUAAGUACCUUGUGAAAUCCCACAGCUUAACUGUGGAACUGCUUGGUAUACUGGUUCUCUUGAGCCAUCUAGGGGCUACCGGAACAAAUGGUGGAGCGGUGAAAUGCGUAGAUAUCAUUUGGAACGCCAAUGGUGAAAACAGGUAGCUGGGGAUGUGCUGACGCUGAGACACGAAAGCCAGGGGAGCAAACGGG